CGGACGGGUGAGUAAUGUCUGGGAAACUGCCUGAUGGAGGGGGAUAACUACUGGAAACGGUAGCUAAUACCGCAUAACGUCGCAAGACCAAAGAGGGGGACCUUCGGGCCUCUUGCCAUCGGAUGUGCCCAGAUGGGAUUAGCUAGUAGGUGGGGUAACGGCUCACCUAGGCGACGAUCCCUAGCUGGUCUGAGAGGAUGACCAGCCACACUGGAACUGAGACACGGUCCGG
rnacentral:rRNA from 1 species